rnacentral:tRNA from 1 species
GAAAUAUUCUUAAUAAAAAGCUUCUAACUUUUUUAAAAACAAUUAAAUAAUGUUUAUAUUUCU